rnacentral:lncRNA from 1 species
CUCGUCCGGUCCAUCCUCUCGACCGCCUCCAGGAGCUCCCUCUGGAGGCCCUCCAGGCGUUCGACCAAUUGCGCCGUCAGCCCCUGGAGGAACCCACGCACGGAUCUCGAUCGGCCCCUUGGCUUUUCUCUUCCGCUUCCUCUUCGGAGCCGUGCUAUCCGGAGAGGCAGCUUCUUGUGCCUCCCGGGUCGAGCUCUCCGAGGCAUGGCGACCACCUGUUCGACGGUUUGUCUCCUCGUUCGGAUGCUGCGUGCUAAUGCUCGGUGGCUUUUGGGAGCGAGGCUUCGGGGGUGGG